AGAAAACAGAAUCUAUUGAACACAUUAUAUCUGGGACAAGAGUUUGCCACGCCAUAUGGUGAAGGGUGCGAAUGCCGAAGGUGAAGCUAUCUAACAAGGAAAAGAAUGGUAUAGCUGCAUGAAACAUUGUAUGGACCUGGGAGUGAAGUCUACCAGCUUGAAGACAAUGUGCACAUUACAUUAAGCUUCCCGUAUUUUCAAGUUUGUCCGUGGAGCCUAGAAAAUUAGAAGACGUCAACAGGAAUUCAUAUUUAUCCUGUGUUCUUGCAAUUAUGAUACUGAUUAAUGAUCAAAGAUCACCGUUGUCAUGGAAACAGCAAAAAGUGGAAAGCCAGUCAUGACAUAGCAGUGGCAUAAUGGGGAAGAUCUGCUGGGAAAUCACUCACUAGCUGGGGGUUUUGUGUCAAAAUUGCUUGGGGAAAUGAGGGUAUCAUCCUCAGUCAUGCAACCGUCUGGCCAAUAUCAACAGAGAAAAUUGAUCAGGAAUAAUCAUGGUGGCCAACGACAGUUCAGCAGGUAACUCUGCACUAUCUCUGUGGAGAAAAUGCAAGUUUCAAUUGGAAGAAAAAUCUUGACAAGACUUCAGUUUGGACUGGCAGGAUAUUUGGAGAGGCUGAGCCUAAAUUCUGCUAACUGGAGUGAUUAUUUGCUCUGUUUUGAUGUUGCGGGUUUCUUCAUUAAGAAAGGGUAUUUGAAAUAAUAGGUGUUUAUUUUAAAUUAACUUUGCCCAUUGGUAAACUGCGUAGCUUGAUUUAACUUAGAAAAAAAUCCUUAUUGGAUGCUAUUAAAAAUUGCACAUAUUGACCUGG